rnacentral:lncRNA from 1 species
AAUUUCUUUCUGCUAGUCAUCGGCCGCGAGUUCCAGAGCCAUAGCGCCUAGAAUUGGUCGAUAUCCAGAUGCGUGCUGGGCGAGCUUGUUGGCAUCCUCGUUGUGAUCCCUUGGGAUGUGCUCGAUUACUGCCGAUUUAAAUUCUUUUAAGAGCUGCAGGCAAUCUUCGUAAUAAAUUCUUAAUACAUCGUCCUUGCAUUCAGACCUCCCCGUUAAUUGAUCCACAAUAAGCAUGGAAUCUCC